rnacentral:lncRNA from 1 species
AUUUUUGCCAACACGAUAGGUAAGAUACAUUCUCCCAUAGUUGCUUGGAUUUGUCUUUAACUAUCAAUAUCAUUGAGCACCAUUUCAUGCAUUUGUUCCCUGUUUGUAUUUUUUACUUCUGAGUGUGAAUUGCCUAUCCAUAUCCUUUGUCCACUUUUCCACUGGUAUAUCUUUCUCCACCUGAAUUAUAUAGACCCCUUUUCAAUCGAGGAAAUGAGCCCUGAAGGCAAAUAUUUCCUCCAGUUUACCCUUUGUCUUUUGUCUUUGUUUACAGUUUUUCAGUCCAUCCUAAGUGUUUUCAUGUUUUUAAAUUUCUCAACACCCAGGAAAUUUGUUGAGAGCUGGACUACAUCUCAAGAUCCCUCCAAGUCUAAAGAAGAUGCCACAAAUACCAUCAACUACAAAAUGAAAGGAAUAUGCGUCCAGUGGUGGAUUUUUGCAGACUUUAGCAGGCUCUACCCUUCCACCAUGCUUAUCCUUCAGGAAUGUGCUGGAC